rnacentral:lncRNA from 1 species
UGCAAGAGAGUUAAACCACAAAAUCACACAAUGUUGUACGGUACGGUACAUAGGUCAAACAGAAAAUCAGGUGAGAUACUGAUGAUUGAUAUCUUUAUAUUGUCAUGCCAGAACUUCCUACUCAAAACAUCUCAAGUAGUCCCCUGAUCAUCAUCAGUCUGAAUUGCUUACUGAGGGCACAAGUAAUUGCAUUGUUUAGAACCAGACUCAGUAACAUGUUCCUUAAACUCAUUUGCUCGGUGAAACUGUUCGAUUCUAGGUAUGCUAUUUAAGUGUUGUAACAGAGAACAAAGGAUCAUGCUGGCUAGUGCCUUGGUGGAAAUUAAACAUCAUGGUAAAUACUUCUAAGUUUGAAACCUCAGAAUGAGCAACAUACUUAUGCAAAUAGUUGCAAAAAAAAUUGCACUGCACAUUUGAGUAUUUUUUAUGCAGCAGCUAAAAGUGAUUAAACUGAUGCCAACCAAAAAAAUUGAACUAUACGCAGGCCAGACCCUAAACUGGCAACUGCUGCAAAAAAUUCAGGUUCACUACAAAGAAAAAGGGCAUACCGUAAGGAAGUUUCCAGUGUUCUGUCCCUCUGACCGGUGAUAGUUGUUCAAAACUUAACCUGGAGGGAACGUUCAGUGUUUUGAUGGGGAUUAACUUCUCUAUAUAACUUCAGAGCCUCCUCCAUGAUCUCAGUUUCGGAUAAAAGCUGUGAUCUUUUCUUAUUCGAAGGAUGAGUACAGAGGAAUCCUCUAUUACUAUCUCCUAGCUUCUCAAUGGCCAGUGGCGCUAUGCGAGGAUCAAAACCAGCUGAACCAAGUAGCAUCAUUCCAAUGAGAUCUGCCUCCGUCUCCGCCCUACAGAGUAAACAUCAUCAGAAGAGCUUAUAACACAAUGUCAAAAAAGAGCACUUAUAAUACAAAAGGCUUAGAUAGAUUUGUAAAGUAAAACAACCAAGAGAACCACAGAAAACACAUAUUAGUUCAGGGACCACUUUCAUGGAGGGAGUACUUCGCCAUUCUAGAAUAAUAACUUCACCGUUUGACUUUUUUUUUGGGGGGGUGGGGGGGAGGGGGCAGCCAAUUUCAUCUGGAGAACAGUACUGGAUUAUAUUCUUGUUUUAAGCAGAAAAGGGCACAAGGUCUUUCAUUCAAUUAUAGACAAAUAAAAGUUUAUGUACAAGCCCCAGUAACUAGGACCAAGAGCAAGCAAAACAAAAUCAAGACAGCUCAAUGGCCAACUUGCUCAGAUCAAUCAGGUAGAACGAUAUUGGGAGAGAGAGCAGCUGCACAGCUCGUUUGCCAAUCAUAUGAAUUACAAUGCAUCACAUGUGUACUGCUAAGUGAGGAUGAACAUAGUGAGAUGCAGAAGUGAUUAUACCUUCGGCAGAAGGGCAACUUCAGGGGUCUAGGAAGCCACUUAUCGUAAAUGAUCUUCUCUGCCCAGUGCCUUGCAACGAUGUGCCCAAUCUACAAAAUAAAAUAAGGGCACCAGCAAUGGUCAGCUUGAAUUCACCAGGAAACAACCCAACAGCACACACGAGCCCAUUACUCCGAUAAACAUACCUCAUGAGCAAUCACAGAGGCAAGCUCAGCGUCCGUCUUAUAAAACUUGAGCAAUCCAGUGGGUACUAUAAUCUUGCCAGCGGGCAAGGACCACAUAUCGAUGUGGUUAUCUUUUAUGACAAUCACCUCCCAGUUGAGCCCAUCGAGAUGCCUUGUUUGUGGCUGCUUCCUUCGUUCCUUCCACAUCGUCCUGCUGAAGACCUCCAUAGCUGACCCCACAUUGUCACUAUGGAGCGUGACAGUGUCAUGGCGCUUGGUGACGAGGUCACGGUGGACGGCAUGGAUGAGCUUAGAGGCAAUGCGAUUAACGCGGACAGUGUGAGGGUGGUGCUGGUCGAGGAUGGCGGGAGCGUACUUCUCCUUCAAAUAGGCGAUGCGGGACUCGGCAUGCUCACGCUCCUCCAGGGGAGAGCGAAAAACAAAGUGGGAGCGGUUGGUAUAGGGCACGGUCUCGAGGUAUCCGUAAUUAGCAAUCAUCGCACCGCCAAUGCCGAUUAGAGAAACCAUGGCCAACAGGACUUGCCGUGGGUCACAGUACCACCUUGAGUAGCCAUGGGUGAAGUGGGUCACUGGUCUAUGCUGGGGGGUGCAGUAGUGCCGAGUGGGCGGCAGCACCUGUCGUAGUGCUGGUGGAUGGCAGAUGGCACGAUUAAUGUGCUGAAAGUAGAGUCUCUGGAUGGGGCAGAAGGCAGGCAGACACCGCGGGGUGGUGUAGUAGUGCAGAAGGUGUUCUGCCACCGGCGCUAAACCAGGCGGUCGACAUACAGCCGGUGCGAUGUCCCGGAAGAAGAAUCCUCGCAUGGAGCACAAAACAUUUGGGCGCCGUGCGGCUGUGUAGCGGCAGAGAGAGGCCAUAAAGGUCAUGUUACUACGAUUUCCCUUUCUUCUUGUUGGGGUCGGCGGUGGGGGCUGCAAUCGGGACUGGCGUACGAUCUAAACGGUAGUGAUUUGCCAAGAGGAUAUAUCACGGGCGGAGGACCCAGUAGGGCAAGGUAGGGCGCCCGCCCUACCUUGAUUUCGCCUCAGUUACGAAUUGGGGAAGAUUAUGAAACGGGGAUCUAAAGGGCGGAAUCCGUUUGUGGUGUGAUGGGAGGAGAAACAGUCGGAAGCGAGAGAAUCGAAGGCGAGGAUACCUGCGCCUUUUUAUUCUUGUGCCUAUGUUGCAAUUUCUCUCGUUGCGCUUGCCAAUCUUGCAAUUUCUCUUGUCCCUUUGUAUUUGGCGCCCAGACUGUUCGUCCCUGUCCGGUGAGAAGCGACUGGCGAUCACCACGCAGCGACUCUGGCUGGAAGCUUGGGCGGAGCAGCAAUUCCUGUGACACCUCCAUGGGCCACGCGGUGCGGCUCCAGUACCACAUGCACGCCAACUCCAGGGCCACGUGCGCGGUGACCAGUAAUCAUUUAUCCAUCUCAUCUUGACUUCAUUCUCGGUUUGUGUCUGCUCGCCUUAACCUUGCAGGAUUUCCCUCGUUCCUCCGCAGGAUUAGCAAUGCUGGACAGUAGUAAAAAGGGGACAACUAACCAUCUGUGAGUCCUGAGAACUAUAUGCGUUUGCUGGUAUAUAUAUACAAUUAGUGCUUGAUAUAUAUGCUCACAGCAUAUAUGCAGUUCAUGGUUGAUUUUGACAUCACACAUAUGCACUUCGUGAUUGAUUUUGACAGCACAUAUGCACGUCAUCUCUGUUUUUGACAGCACAAUAUGCAUUUCAUCUCUGAUUUUGACAGCAUAUAUCGACCUCAUCUCUGAUUUUGACAGCAUAUGUACACCUCAUCUCCGAUUUUGACAACAUAUAUACACUUCAUAUAAUUUGAAGGAUGCUGGAUUCAGAUGACAUAAAAUAGGAUUCAGAGAUUACGUAGGUGAUUUUCAGUCCAUAUCUCCAAAAUAAAAUGGAUGAUUCUGAGUUCAUAUCUCAGAAGUUAUCACAAGGCAUCACACAAAAUAUAGGAUUCAGCCUACAGUUCUUGUUAAUUUCUGUAAUGGUAGCUGGCAGUACCCUUGAACCUUUUCCCCAGCCCUUCUCCUAUCAACAAACAUCAUGAUUUUUUUUUUGCGAGGAACAAACAUCAUGAUUUUAGCUCUUACUAGCCGAAAUACCUGUCCGCUCCACAUAUUUGAAAAGAUUUUGAAUUUUGCUAUGAGAAUACUUUAUUGGCUCAAAAAUAUUUCAUUCAGUCUUUGUCAUUUUUUCGUUUAUUUUCUGGGUGCAUUUGAUUUUGAAUUUGCUUUAUUUUUUUUAAUUAGAAGGAAAACAAUUUCAUUGCUUUGGGCCAACACCCAUCCAGUCCAGCUUCUAUCCCCCUCCUCUAGUUCCAGUCCAGCCCAGUCACCACGCAUCGUCUUCUUCGGUCAAGAGACACAGAACAGCACGCGGACACACCUGCAGUUCAAGUGCACGCCGCCGCCUCGAAUUCUCCUUCGAUUCUCUCGCUCCCGACCAUUUCUUUCAAAAUCGAAACCGCCAAAUUCAUUCUCAUCACCUCAUGGAUCGAUUCAGGUUUUCAAUCGUAACUUCCGUACCUUUAAUCUCCCCGUGCUGCGCCCUUGCUCUACUCUCCUCCUCGUUCUCUCUCUGCAUCGUGUUAACCCCAAGCUCUGAGAUCCCAAUCGCGGCCCUAAGCCCAGCGCCUCCAGCCCAAGUCCAACCACAAACCAUAUCUGAGGAGUCGUCAUGGUGGUAGCGGCGAAUGAGGAGCCGGCGGUGGCACGGGAGGGACGGCGAUGCGGCGACGUGGGAGGUACAGUGCCUCCGCCACAGUCCGUAUCUCGCCGCCGCGGCACCUGGAAGAGGCGUCCUUUUUUUGUUUUAGGUGCGUCUAAGAGGGGCGAGAGGCGCGCCACAGCGUGUUGGAUCGGGAUUGCCCGCGGUUUGACGAAUGACGAAACUGCGUGGUGAAGGGAACGGUUCGUAUUUUUUAGAUAGGUAUAGAUUGUGUCGGAUAGAUCAUCUGCACGGAGGUUCUUCAUUUCUCUGAUUAAAGUGUUGAAGCCCCCGAGUAGAGGUUGUUGAAGCUAUUGCAACUUUUCUAAAGCUCCUGAAUCUGGUUAUGGUUUCUGCAGCUCGAAAAACAGCCAAUAAGGACGGAAUAGGGGGUAAGAGAGGAAUUGGUUAUCCGGUGGCCGGAAUUGCUGCCCAUGGUGUCCGGAGAAGAGGCACCGACCGGCCGCCACGUUGCUCCCACCCCUCCUCUGCUCCAGGAUGAAACACUGCUCCCUCCUGGACGAACAGGCAAGCCAAUCAAUUUGAUUGAGGCUUGGUUGGAUCAAGCCAGGUUGAAAGAAGAGGCAAGAGAAAUUGCAAGAUUGCCACAAGGGCAUACAUGUCCUUUCAGGUAGCUUUUUUGGGUUCAGAAAAUAAAAGAUAUAGUUAGAAGUAGAAAAGGGCAAAUCACCGAGAUGUUCAAGUACCGUCUGCACUUACCUUCUCCUUGAGAGCAGCAAAAUACGACUUUUUUUGCUACACUCUGCACUUACCUUCUCCUUGAGCUGUCUGUAGCUUUAGUUUGUACCUUCCACUAUUUGUUUUUGUUCCAAGCAAAGAAGGAAACUUGCACUCUGCUGUAGCAUUAAAACAGAGCUUUGAGACACAAUUUUUCAAGUUACCCUUGAGAAGUUGAUGUACUGUUAUAACCAUGGGUUAUAGUUGCUUUGAACAUGCGACCUGUUGUGUGAUAUUUGAAUGUCAUUUCUUCUAAAAAUUUAUAGGUGUAACUACACUUCGUAUUAUUUUUUCUAUGCAUGUAUUCUUCCUUCAGACGAUGUAUGGGGAUGGUUUGUUCGUCGCUAUUGUUGGGUGCUUAGCUUCGAGGUAUGGUUGGCUUCAUUUUCUUUUUGUCGCUAUAUUGGCUUGCGUGCAGAAAGAAUUAUCAUCUAAUCGCUUCAGUGUUUUUAACGCAAGGCGAAGCGCGCGUACCUAGCUAGUUAACAUUAGAUGUGACUAUAAAUUAUAUUAGAUGUAACUAUGUAUCUACUGGAUGUAGUAUUGUACUGGAAUAGAGGUAACUGUAAUGUUUUGCAAUAUUGGUCACCAUCACUAUUGGACUAUAUACAUAAAAAAUAUUGGAUGUAACUUUUUAUCAUUUUAAAUUAUUUGUCUAUGCUUAUUUUUUCUGAUGCACAUCUUUAACAGCAUACAUGUUUCUCAGUCAAAAUAACUUAGCAGGGAUAAUUUAUUAGAUUUUACACUCUCAAUCGGACUUCAUUAAUUUGGCACUCCAGUUUUUUUUCUUCUGGCCAGCGUGGCCUGGUUGAUCCAAAAAUGAUAUGCGAAGAAAUUCAAAGGACAAAGAACCCAGUGCAAUUGCUUUCUUUAUAGAUUAUGGCUCUUAUACUUUUGCCAUUGAAGUAUGUUGCCGCUUUUGCCAUUGAAGUAUGUUACUGCUUUUGCCAUUGAAGUAUGUUAUCGGUGCUCUUAAUAUUUUUCUAGUAAUUGCUGAAUCCCUAACAUACAUUUCCUCCCAAAACCUGUUCCUUUAUAGAUUAUGCAUUUCUAGAUCUGAUGAUGAAUUACGCCAUAUGUGUCAGAGAUGGUUAUCACUACUUGUGAAAUUAACUUGUUUCUGAUGGUAGAGAUGAUAAUCGCAAUCCAAAAGCAUUCCAUGUCGACAUGGAAUUAUUUAUCUCUCUGACCAUCUUUUUCCUUGUAUUAUGAGGAUUUAUGUUAACCAAAAGUGUUGAUCUUAUACCGAGUACCUGCUAUUCCAUAGGGGUAUUAUCAAGAUUGAUGGUGUACAUGUAUUUGGAUCCACGAAUCUGAAGUUGGAAGCUGGGGGUGUUUUUCUGAAUGUCCUAUGGAUUUAGUUUAUAGAUGUAACUUGGUGACGUAUUGGAUGUAGUUUAAUAACUAGUAGUAAUUAUGAUUAGCAUCUCACUGUGUGAUUGCAUUCCUUUUCCUAUUUAAUUGAAUUUGAAGAUAUAUGGCAGCAUUGCUCUCUGGGUUCUCAUGCAAAAUUUGGAAUGUGUAUCUGUGCCAAUCUAAACUUACUUCUAACUUUUCUUUGUAGUCAAUGUUAUGGAUGUAACUUUAUGUUACCAAAUUACAUCUCAUUGGUGCAUAGUUGAUUUGGAUAGCAAGUUAUUUUGCCAAAUAUAGAGGAGUAGAAGGCAUUUUUUUUCCACCAUGUAUCUAUUUCUUUGAUAUUUACUUUUUCUUUUUCUAACACGGAUGUAACUAUUUGGUUGGUGAUUUGCAUAUAGUAGAUAUAGAAUUCUUUUGAACAAUGAGCCUUCGAAAAAUUCAUCCUCUUUAGUUGUAUAGGUUCUACUACUAUCUCUAUAUCUUGUUUUUUAUUUCUACAAAAAGUUCCAUGCCAGGCAGAAGAUAAAUGGCAGCAUGGUUCUUUCGCCUAAUCUGUGCGUGCAUUUUUUUAAUAUAAAUAUUUCAAUCAAACAUUGGCAAUACACAGUAUUUUAAUGGUCCGAAGUAACCUUUUAAACUACUGGAUGUAAGUUCCACAUGGAAGUAAUUCCAACAGGUAUGGAUGUAACUUUGGAAGCCAUGGUGGGGAAGCCCUUUUCAACUGCCAAAUCAGGUGCGAACAUGUUACUGUUCAUGUAGUAGUAAAAAUUCAUUAAAAUAAGUUAAGCUUUAUUUGCUUUUAUGUCCAUAUUUUACAGAAAACGAUGAGCACAGAAGCUAUCAAGAACGGCACUUGGGAUGUGGAAUCCUAAGAACGUAGCAAGUGCAAACCUUGGUUUCCUUUUCAUGUUAUGCGAUACACAAUUUUGGUUGUUACUUUUUGAAGGGGGUAUUGUACCAGUAAUUCAGUUCAUUUUUUUUUGCCAAACAAUAGCAAAACGUUUCGCUUUACGUGGAGAAAUAGUCUUGCAGAGGCCUGAAAAGCCCUGGCGGUCUGACAACCGGGAGUUGCCUAAUUAAGGCAGAUUUUCCUAAUCAAGAUGGGUUGUGUGUCAGCACUUUGUGCUGGUAUGGUUGCUAUUUUGUUAGGGAAACUUGCAUGUGGACCCUCUUUCCCAGAUGGUCCGAAGGUGUCAUAGAGGGUUAGCAACCAUACCAGCAGGGCCGUCCAGCACGGAUCAGCAUCGGCUGGAGGCUAUUUUCGUCCGUCCGUUAACGUGUGGUGUACUGGUGUGGUCAGCGAUUCUUUAUAAGCCAGGUGCCCUCUUCCCCAUGCUCAGCGGAAACCACAGCAAACGAAAACACACAUACGUCCCCAAGCGUCCUGUUUGAGGUCCGGCGAGUACCUUUGGCUCCGGCGAAGCUCUCUGGCGGGGGAAAGAGGUUGGGGGCACUACGUCAAGCACGCAUACCGUCCCGCGGAACGGGGGAGGGGUGACCGGCACAAGUAGUCGCCGGUCAUCCUUCCCGUGGGAGGAAGACGACGGCGUAAGCAGUCGCCGGUCACCCCUCCCGCAAGGCCUCGUUCGGUUGUGACAUUCCCUGCAGUAAUUGAAAGAGGUGCGGACUUAGCAAAAAUCCCAUCAAUCCUUUACGAUCUUUAGGGAUGGGAAGAACCGAACUGGGUCUGGGGGCGCCGUGGAGCAAGAUCCAGAUCGAGGUUUGUUUUCCUCAUCCAAAUCCAGAUUAAUUUUCUCUCACGCAGCAAACCCGGCAAACCGGCAAACUUCAGGUAGCGAAUCCAGCCACCGAAAACAUCUUGCCAAUUCCCAACAACAAACCAGUCCUCCCACACGGAUUCUCUCUAGAAACUUGGCAUCCUCUAUGCCCCUCUGGAAACAUCCAGGGAACGGGGCGCUCAAGAAACUCCGAGAAACAUCACGAAGAAUCCCGAGACGGGGAGCCCUUCCGGAAACAUCCAGGGAAACAGGGCGCUCAAGAUACCUAGAGAAGUAUCCCGAGACACAGGAAACGGGGUGCGCAAGUUACCUCUCGAAGACACAAGAACCCUCCAGAAACACCCAGAACAACCCGAGACGGGGUAAACGGGGCGCGCAAGAAAGGUUUCAGUAUAAAAUCCAAUCCCCACGGCAGCUCAUACCAGACCACAUCUCCCCAACGAAUUCACCUACCCAUACAUCCAGCUCAUACCCAAGAUGCCACCUGUUUUCAUCCUAGAUGUCGGGGACAAAGCUGAACAGCAGACGGCUUCCGGCGGCGAUCGUUGCAAGGGCCACGAAGCUGUCGUCUUCUAUAGGUGCAGCGACGAGGGUCACCGCGGCCUUGCCGCCACUCUAUUCAUACUUGGGGCCGGAGGCGGCUCUGACACCACCGACAAUGCCUCUGGCGUCAUCAAGGACCAGCAGACAGGCAAAGGCUUCGUCGUCUUCGCCGGCGUAUACACCAGCAAGGGCGAGAUCGUCUCCACCGAUGCGCAAAGGUCACUUGGGUCGCUCCUCACGUCCCUCGGCACCCCCGGCAAGGUUGACUCCAGCUACGAGGCUAUGUCGGUCGAUGCUUUCCUUGAAACCUCGGCAAGGUCGACUACGGUGACAAGGCGAUCUCUGCCGAUGCUCUCGGCGAGGCCAAGAUCGACUCCAUGGACGAGGCGAUAUCCUCCGAGGCUCUCCUCUCAUCGCUCGCCAAGGGCACCAAGGGCCAAAUCAUCCUUGUUGGUCUCGUCGACACAUCCUCCAUCUCAACCUGCGAGUCCAAUGACGGCUGUCGCGGGCACAAGGUUCGUCUAUUCUUCGACAAGGGCCCAAAAGGAGCGGUGAGCUUGACCGAGGCGUGCGACCUCGAUGAAUUCUGUGCUGCAUGUUCUGGAAUUUACAAGAUCUUCCAUGCCGAGAGCGAUCAUGAGUCCUCAACGACAUAAGUCUUUCUAAUCAAAUCCAAAUCCAAUUCCUCUUGUAAGUAACAUGUGACGAUCCAGUUAAUUGUAUCAAAUCUAAAUACAAUUCCUCUUCUUAUGACGAUCCUGCUGUGACGAUCCUGUUAAUCGUUUUAUUCCCACAGGAUUGCUGGUCUUGGCCUUGGCUGGCGCCCAACGGAGCUGCAAGUCCAACAACUGGCGAGAUUGGUGGAAAGAGUUUGGAGGAGUGGACUUAUCCGUAGUGUCAUUGUGGAGUUGUUCAAGAAGAUUUUUGGCAGCGAAGGCUUUGGCAGGGGCAGCGAAGAGCCAAGCCCACCUAACGAGCCCAAGGAUGAUGAGCCGAAGCCCAAGGAUGAUGAGGAGCCCAAGAAAGAGGAGCCCAUGGAUGAGGAGCCCAAGGAAGAGGAGCGCAAGUGGGAGGAAGAGAGGGUCGUGUGAUGACAGAAGAAGACAUUCUCGACCUGUCGAGAUAUGCGAUCGAAGGCCUCGCCAUGCUCGCGAAGCACAUGAGCAAGGAUGAGACUCCAGAGCCAUUGGAGGGGUUAUGUGGCUUCCCAGGAUCAGCCUAGUUCGCACCUUGUCCGCAGCUUUAGAAAUUUCCCAAUGAAACCCUUACCUUGUAUCUCGUGCUUAUUCUGCAGAAUUGUUUACCGGUUUUAGAAAUUUCCCAGUGAAACCCUUACCUUGUAUCUCGUGCUUAUUUUGCAGAACUGUUUACCAGCUUUAGAAAUUUCCCAAUGAAACCCUUACCUUGUAUCUCGUGCUUAUUCUGCAGAACUGUUUACCAGGAUCAACUAGUCCGCAACUUUAGAAAUUUCCCAAUUUUUCCUUAUCUUGUCUCUGUUUCGCUCGGUGAAAGUACCUAGAAUCUUCAGGAGAGGUUUGAAAUAAAGGAAUAUUUUGAUACCAUACAGCUCGAGAUAAACAAUAGUAGUUGCUCUUAUUACAUAGUAUUUCGUCUCGUAUUUCUGUUUCGAUUGGAUUGGAGGGCCGGCUCAUGUCAGAUCAGGCAGAACAACUUGGAGGCCCGUGUCAGAUGGACCUCUACUCGUCCCAGUGAUAUUUACCAUAUGACUUGGUGUGAAUCCUAUGCAGAGAUUUUACGGGCGGCGAUCCUAACACCCACUCUUGAGGACCUUUGCACACUACACUGCUUGGGAUAUCAAAUUUGUGGGAACUCAACACUUUGUUCACUAUUUCAAUGUUGGUACAGCACUCUCUUUAGUGGCUACCCUACACACAACCCUAUCAUGGUAGCUCACUUCUCUACUUGGUGUGGUGAUACACUAUUUGUGGUAAUUGUGGUACACCUAUGAGGUGGGGGCACCCCUAUUUAUACUUGUACAAGACCAUAUGGUACAUCCCACUACAAUUCUCUAGAAUACUCUACAUGUAUCCUAGUCUAGAGAAUUCUCACUUAUUCUUAAAACUUAUCUUAACUAUGUUCUUUCAUGGUAAAUUGCAGCACUUUUCAAGUAACCUCUCAAGAGUUUUAGAAUAUUCAUAUCUUCUCAUAUUCACUGGAAAGCUCCUUGUAAAUAUCUUCUCCUCCACUAAUCCAAGGUAUUUUAGCAUCUUCUCAAAUAUGCAUAACUAAUUUCCAAUACUCUCCAAUUAUUCAGAAUGUUUCAAAAUAUUCUCAAGUAUGCAUUGCUAUUUCUCGACAUCCUAUGAUAUCAAUUAUUCAUUAAACUAUUUUGGCCUGUUAGAUCUGCCAAUUGCUAGGAAGGCAUCACUUCACCGGUUCCUUGAGAAGAGGAAGGAUCGGUAAGUUGCUCUCUCUAUCACAUCGUAUGGUAUGGUUACUUUUAAUCACCACUGCAUUUUCUGUUAAGAAGGAUGCAUUUUCUGUUAAGGAGCCUGAGAAGCACAGACGGUGAACACAAUCUGUCCCAGAUUUUCGCCAUAACUGACUGCUUUUUUCUCCUUAGGAGACGGGAAUUAAUGCGUAAUUUAGAGAGGAAGUUAAGGAAAUCUCUUUCCUCAGGCUGAAAGACCACGUUAUCUUGUGCCAUGGGAAAUUCAUUAAGAUUAUUUUCCCUAACCAAGGGCAUUUUUCAGCACGGGCAGGCGAUUCUUGGAGACCUGUGCCAUCCCUCUCCCCAGUCUCACCCACGCUUCACCUUAAGAUUACGGAUUACCCCAAUCAUGAGAAGAUGCCCCACUUGCACCUGAUUCCAACUUAGCUCCAUCUCUACAUCAUACUCCAGCACACCGCACGCCACCUACAGUCGUGUAUACACCUUUUGUCUCUGUUAGAUUUGAACACCGGGAGAAAAGUGAGAUGUUAUCAGACCACAUAUGCCUGGCUGGCGCCGCGGCGAGUGAGUUGAAAGGAAACCAAAACAACCAGGCAGCAAAGCUGCAGUGUGCAAACCAAAAGAGCUAUCCAGUAUCCAUGUCUUAGAAAGCAUGCAAGAAUGAGUCACCAACACUGGAAACCUCCUCAAACUGCAUGCCGUUCGAGUCAGGAAUCACAACUUUCCAUGCUAUCCGAGUCAUACAAAUAUACAAUCAACUGGGCUCGGUCAUGCAGUGCUUGCACCAUUAACGCAAGUGACAAAACCAAGGAGCAAACAAGGGGAUUAGACACACCAAAUCUUGCGAACAACACGAUUAGUCUUGAAAGCAAUAGGUUUUAGGCAAAGCUAGCUUCCAAGCAGGAGAUCAGCUUGGCCACAUGAAACCAUACAGACACACGGUACAUCGAUGCAGGCGGUAAAUUACCGAAAUGAAACACUUGAUUGUUUUUCCCACAUGGAUAACAGAGAUACAGACCACUUCAUCUUGCAGUAAGCAGCAUCAAUUAACAUCACUUUCCACCAAACAAGUAGCCCAGGGACGAGCCACCGCCUGGAGCAGCAUGAACCUUGGUUGAAGGACGAUCCUGCAAGAGAGUUAAACCACAAAAUCACACAAUGUUGUACGGUACGGUACAUAGGUCAAACAGAAAAUCAGGUGAGAUACUGAUGAUUGAUAUCUUUAUAUUGUCAUGCCAGAACUUCCUACUCAAAACAUCUCAAGUAGUCCCCUGAUCAUCAUCAGUCUGAAUUGCUUACUGAGGGCACAAGUAAUUGCAUUAUUUAGAACCAGACUCAGUAACAUGUUCCUUAAACUCAUCUGCUCGGUGAAACUGUUCAAUUCUAGGUAUGCUAUUCAAGUGUUGUAACAGAGAACAAAGGAUCAUGCUGGCUAGUGCCUUGGUGGAAAUUAAACAUCAUGGUAAAUACUUCUAAGUUUGAAACCUCAGAAUGAGCAACAUACUUAUGCAAGUAGUUGCAAAAAAAACUGCACUGUGCACAUUUGAGUAUUUUUUAUGCAGCAGCUAAAAGUGAUUAAACUGAUGCCAACCAAAAAUAUUGAACUAUACGCAGGCCAGACCCUAAACUGGCAACUGCUGCAACAAAUUCAGGUUCACUACAAAGAAAAAGGGCAUACCGUAAGGAAGUUUCCAGUGUUCUGUCCCUCUGACCGGUGAUAGUUGUUAGCCCGGCUACCUGGAAUGCCAGCUGGAAUCUGCUUGGCUACAUCAGCAGCUGCUGGAGCUGGUUUUUCAGCUGGAGGGGACUUUGGAGCUGAUGCUGCUGCAGGUUUUGCGGGCUCACCAUCUCCAAAUAGGUAACCCAGAGAACUUUGACCACCGCCAGCACUCCCGCCACGACUCAUCUUGACUGCCCAAAAGAAGGAAAAUUGCAACAUAUCAGUGAACAAGCGCAGCAUGGUAGACAGGUAGAGUACAAUAGGGAAGUACAAUGUUGAAAUAGCAAAUGUGAUCAGAGAGCAACGUUGCACGUGGCAGAUGUCUACAAUGCAGAACUACAUAAUCAAAGAGAACCUUAAUAUCGUGUGUCCAAAUAGGAACAUUUUGAUAACUAACUGAUAACCAGUCACUAUCAAACUGUAGAUAUCCACAUUAGCAUGUUAGAGAAACCAUUUUACAUCUGCUAGAACCCAGAGGGCUUGAACAUGAUCCACUUUCGAAAAAUGAGGAAAAUAACAGCUAGAAGCUUUGAACCAAUGUUUUCCAUAAUUCAACAUACACUAUAUCACCUAGAUAUCUAAUUACAAGUUAUGGGAAUGUUAUUGAUUACAAGAAAUACAACAUCAUCGAUAAAAAAAAUUAAUAGAGAAACAAACAACAGGUUUUAUCAGUAUCUUCAAGUUGGAAGGCAAAAUUAACAGGGCAGCGCUCCUCAAUGCAUAGCGUAGUUCAAAAACACAGUGAAGAAAUGAGCUACACAUUCUUAUAGAUCGUCAAAUCAAAAAGAAUCAUACUCAAGAUCAUUCAAACAAUAUAAGGUAUUCAAAGAAAAAAAUCUCUCUUCAUUCGAUCAGAGGGUUUAUUUUUCAAUACGAUAGCCAUCCUGACUGUGCAGUUUGGUACAUUUCUAAUUCACAUUGCAGAGUAAUUGUUCAUCUCACCACUACAACUAGUACCCCUAGAAUCCAGCAUGUAACAGGAAAGAUCCAGACAGUAAUGUUUUACUUUAGACUAAGACAGGUCAAAACAUUCUUUGGCAUUGUUUAAUAUGAUCAGGCCUUCCAAUCAAUUUCAGUUUCAGUUUCCCCUUGGGUUCAGUUACUACAAGUCGAUCACAAAAGAUGAAUCAUCAUUAGCACCCCACCAAAUAUUAAACGGGCCAGAUACAAGAUUCCAUGCACCAUUCAAGUGUUGGAACGAUCCUCAAACAUCACAGCUAAAAAAGAUCCAUUUGCCGUUCCGUUAUUCAUAUUCAACAUGUAUGUUUCUCCUGAUUUGGACCAGUACCGGACAAAUUGCAGAGAAGCAUGCAGUGCUUCCUCAGUUGUGUAUAACAUGUCGAGAAUCUCUGACUAGUAUGUUGUGUAAUUGUAACUAUCAUCAUCCAAUUUUUUUCCUUCACGAAACCAGAUUCCAAUCACAAACCUAGACGUCGAUCCCCACAAAAGUGAAGCCGCGGUGACACUGAUAUGAUUACGUACUACACGCCCUAGAAUUUUCAAAUCUAGGUACAAAAUAACCCAAUUCCCCGAACAAACUGCCGUAAGCACGUACACUUCUUCACACCCAAUCCCCCGAACUAAAAGGCUUGAUCUCCACAAAUCUGUCACCGACACAAGGAAAUUGGCCGACACUACCUACUCGCAAAAAAAAGGCCGACAUUACCGACAAAUCAACCACCGACAGAUGUAAUAGUCGCAAUCCAGACACCUAAACGCGCUAGAUCCACGGAUCCUAAACCGUAAGAGCGUAAUCAUGACCCACGGAACAAGAGCACACGAUCGGCGAGAGUCUGGGGCCAGAUCCGAGCUAAAAAUCUACACAAUAAUCGAAGAGCACGGGAGAUCCGUCGAGCCUAACAGUGCAGGAAAAAUCCACGCGUGAGAGAUCUGAAGGGGAUGAGAGCGGAGGCGAUUCCAUACCUCAGAUCGGGCGCAGACGAGGGUGGAGGACGAAGAGACGGGAGGAGGUCGUUCGGAGCGGUGGUAGGGGUGGUGGGGGAGAGAGUGCUGUGUUGUUGCCUUCCUUUAUAGAGUGAGACGUUUGCAGGGAGGGGAGGCUCUUUUGCAGAUUGGUACUCGUAGAAAAUCGUAUUGACACGAAAGCGGUCUUGGUUGUGAGAGAAGGUUGGGGAUUUGGUAAGAUGUGAUUUCUUUGGCGAUUUCUUUUGAGUUGUUGAAUGAUUGGCUGGAGAAAGGUUACAUUUCUCAUGUUGCUGGCAAAUACAGCUAAUAAAAUAUUGGUUUCUUAUGGCAUUUGAAGUUAAUACUAAUAGAUAUCAUAAAUUGAUUUAUAGACAAUAAUAAGAAAAUAAAGAAAGUGACACCCAUAUGUUGAUGUUGUCCGCCAAUUAAUUGUAGUACACGCUUCCAUGGUGGGGUUAAACAAGAAUAGGCAAGAGUUAUGCGCGUUUCACGAUUUCACCUGACUAAAGUCGUGAGACCCAUGAGGAUGGUGUAGCUUCAUUUGGGUGGCUAUUGACGAGCACAACAAACGACGGAAUCGGAUAACCGAUGUAUAUAGGGUACUCGUAGUAAUGACGAAGUUCAUGAAGAAGUAGGGUGAUUUGGUCAAAGUUGAAGGUGCAAAAAUGUGAUAUUGCUCUAGUGCCAUGGAGGCAUAAUAUGACAAUGUAAAUGGUUGUCUAAUACUUUAUGUACAUUCGAUAAAAAGAAAUGCACAACAAAGCCAAAAAAAAAAGAUUGCAUAGUUCACGAAGAAGUGUCAACCACAAAAUUUAGAUAGAUAUACAUCAAACUUUAGACCUUAAUAAAAAAAACACCACAAAUGUCGGUACCACAAAUCUAUUACCGAUAAGAAUAUGUCAUUCAUUAAAAACACAAGGGUUGUUUUGUCAUUCGUGGAAUAUUUUAUAACAGACGGCAUGAUUCAUAUUCUCACAAAGGAGAAAAAAUAUUUUCAUCACCAUGUAUGAGCAUAUCUUGAUACUUCCCAUACUACCUAACGCAUAUAAAUAAAUUUUGUAGCAUGACCUAACAUGUUAUAAGAGGCCACCACAACACACCAAUUGGCAAUUGCACAAGCCUCAAAUGUUCAAAGAUGCUUUGCAUUAUACAAGCGUCGAAGGUUCAAAGAUGCUACUGCAUGCUAAACAAUUUAACAUUUCUAAUAGGACAGAUAUGCAAAGAAAUUUGGUUUCAUGCCCUGUUGACCAAAGUCAGAGGCUACCACAUGGCCGCUCGCAUGGUGCCGACUACUGCUCAGAGCACGGAUGCCACGAGCCGUUCAUCCAUACGUCCACGGCUGAGAUCGCGUGCGGCGCAGGAGUCGUCGGUGGGCGUCUCAUUCGUGUGGCCUAUCCGUGUCCGCGUGUGCGCGUGCAUGUGACCUGCUGGGCCCCAGCCGACAGCUACAGAAUAACCACGCCAGUGAUGGAUGGGUCGUUGCUUUCGUGUGCAGAUGGCCGUGGCCCAAUCUCAAGCUAAAAGGCUUAAUCACCCCCCAACAAAGUUAAGUCUUAAUCGCAAUAAAAUGAUGCAAAGACAUCUCGCAAUCAAGAAAAAUUAAUCUGAAAGAAAAAAUAUGCCUGUCUCCCUCUCUAUUCAUAACAUGAAAGAGAUUUAUAACAUCUGAAAACUAUAGUGUUCGAGCAACGUGGAAAACAAAAAAAUAUGCCUGGCUCUCCUCAUAGUCACAUGUAAAAAAAAUGUAACACAUCCAAAUGUUUGUAAAACUGGGCUGGUCGACGAGCCAUGCAUAAUAGACCCAUCGUAACAAUUUGUAAUGGCCCAAACACGUGUCAGAUUUAUUUUUUAAUGUGUGAGUUUGGGUAUUUGCGUCGAUUUGUACUAAACACUCAAUCUCCCGAAAAAUGCCUCGAAAUCACCCCCAAAGAUACUUGAUCACACAUUGCCGUGGGAUUGUUGAACGAUAAUUUUAUUUGACAAACGUGUAUGUGCGGAAAAGAUUACGAAACUACCUUUGGUAGUGCAGUCAACACAUUUUCAAUAUUUUUCAAAAUACAAAGUCAAUUUCGAUUCUUUUAUACUACCUCCGAUUCAUAAAGAAUGUCGUCCAUUUUUACAAAUUUUGUACUAAGUGGACCUCACUUUUUAUGUAUCUCAAGGAGUACACAUAUAUAUUCCGUCCGAUUCAUAGUAAGUGUCUCGGAAGGAGUAUAUACUAACCCAUGGUUCGAGAGUACAUAUUGACUCGUUUGAGUUUGUGAAUUUUUAGAGUGAUCGUUGUGCAUUACGAGUGGAUUUUAGAGCAAAGAAGAUGAUCGCAGACCUAAUUCGAUUCAAUGUACCUUUCUGUGCACAGGGCCCAGGGGGAGAGCAAGUGGGGAGACAAGGAUAUCGCAGUGACUUUAGGCAACUAAUACCUUCUCAUGACAACUGACUAAAGUCAAAUAGAUUCCCAAAUCACUCAAGUAAAGAAAGAAAGCGAAUCGGCUGCCUUAGACAGGGGGUUAGGUUCUUCAAAACCAACUUUUGACAAGCGUUGGUCCAGUCUGAAUACGUACGCAUGCUUUGCAAUUCACAACCAUUACUCACAAUUCUAGCCUACAAAAAACUAUCUGGAUACCUUCGCUUUGGCGGGGACAAACAAAAUCGCCCACUUUAAGCUAUUCUUAUCGUCCAGCCCACUUUUAGCUGAAUGGUCUGCCUAGAUCAUUGUCACACUUCGGUAUCAGUGCUCUCUAUCACGAUGUAUUGUUGUCGGACCUACUUUUUCUUUGGAGAUGGUUGCUAUUCGCACACAUCCACAAAUGGUGACAUUUUUUGAUGAAUUUUACAAGUGUGUUACAUCUUUAAUUCGUAGCAUUGUAAGGAAAGACACAAUAUUUUGACGAUUGGCAAAAUCUUCCACCCGAAAUUAGUUACGCGCGCCAAUACCUGGAUACGAAAUAAACUCUCAGAAAGAAAUACGGAGGUCAGGUGGUACGUUUUGUUUUACGGUUGGAUCGGCCGAAACGACGGAAAACUGCUUGCCCAAACGACCAUCCAAUUAAUCGGUGUUUUACAGCGAGGACGGAUUUUUUUUGCCGGGCUGUAAGUUACACCGGUGUUGGUCAAAAACCGGGCUCCCAAUCAAGGCCUAAGAUUUAAUUACACAAAUUAAAGAACGACCCCCCAAACAAAAAUCUUAAGCUAACGACAUGGCUCACAAACUUGCAGCAACCGACGUCGCCCCCCCCCCUCCCCUCCCCUUUCGGCAUAUUAGAGCAUCUUCAACAGGGCCCUUAAACAAGGCCUCUAUCCCAUUUUAGGAGCUAAAACCAAAAAAAUUCUCUUCAACAGGACCCCUGCUUGGACCCCUAGAGUAGGAAGGCCUUUAGAAACAUCCAUCGGGCCCUCAUUCCUGGGGGCUCCCAAGGAAGCCCCUACUUCAUACCACGUCAGCUCUCCCUCUCCCAGCGCCUCUUCUUCCUCCUGGUCGGCCUGUCCCCAUCACCCCACCUCACCGGCGGCCAAGCACAAAAGCGCCGUCUCCCCCGACCACCCCCACGCGAAGCAGUAAAACGCAGUCGCGCCGCGUCUCCGGCCUUCCUCUCGCCGGUCUUGGUCGAUGCCCCGGUCCGCCACCGUGACUUCCCUGGUGAGGAGGCCGUGCAGCAGAAUGAGGAUGUGGAGGGGGAGGCCGACCGGCGCUGCGCCUUGCAUCCGCCCCGCGAUUUCGCCACAGUCGCACAACGCGCAUCCGCCCACGCCCUUGGCCAUGUCUCCCACGACCGCGGCACCUGCGGCCGCGCCGCCUCGCGCCUUGCCGCCGGCCGCCCCCGCCUUUGCUGCCCUUGGCCGCGUCUUGGGCCGUGCCGCGCCUCCGCCGCCCUUGGCGUCACUGCGACUCCGCCGCCCUUGGGCGUCCUGCACCUCAGUUGUACUUGGCGGCGUUGCGGCUCCGCCCGCCCUUGGCCACCUCCAACAGCUGCGUGUGCGGGCCUCCGCGUGCAGGGGAUAAGGGCACGCCCACCCCCUCCUCCUCGAUGCAAUCCCCCUCUUGUUGGUCUCUCGUGCGAGCUCAGGGAAGAAGACAAGAAAAACGAAAUGUUUCACUGACAAAAGGGUUCCAUGUGUCAGUGUAACAUAAAAGUUAAAUAUGGGCUGAAAUAUAGGCGUUCCUGCUGAAGAUGAAACUAAAAUAAGAGCUGACAAAUUUAGGAGAAAGCCCCUAAACAACAUAUAGGGGCUCUGUUUUACGGGCUACUGCUGAAGAUGCUAUUACUCCCUCCGUUUCUAAAUUCAACGGAGGGCGUACCUCUUAAUGAACAAUAUGACCGUCAUUUUAAAUGAACAAAAGAAAACUUUUUUAGGGAACAAAAAAUAGAAAAGGCAUCAAAUGCACAAGCGGAUUCACGAAGACAUUCAACCCGUUUUGUCCAAUCUACCUGGGCUUACGGCCCAUUUCAGCGCUCGUGUCGAGACCCAAGUCA